rnacentral:rRNA from 1 species
UACGUAGGGCGCGAGCGUUGUCCGGAAUUAUUGGGCGUAAAGAGCUCGUAGGCGGUUCGUCGCGUCGGCUGUGAAAUCCCGAGGCUCAACCUCGGGUCUGCAGUCGAUACGGGCGGACUGGAGUUCGGCAGGGGAGACUGGAAUUCCUGGUGUAGCGGUGAAAUGCGCAGAUAUCAGGAGGAACACCGGUGGCGAAGGCGGGUCUCUGGGCCGAUACUGGCGCUGAGGAGCGAAAGCGUGGGGAGCGAACAGG